rnacentral:lncRNA from 1 species
UCAUCCGAUCGGAGCUUAGAAGAGCAUUUAGGGUUUGGGUAGUUGUGGAAAUUUUGGAAGGAGGAAGGAGAUUUUGGUGCCCUUUUGCCGGGCGGUGGUGAAGAGGGCAAAGAUAGAGGGGGCUGACAGGAGAAGAAAAGAGGAAUGGUAUAAAGAGAAGGAGAGAAGGAAGGAGGACAGAGGGAAGAAAAGUUCUGGGAGGAAAGAGGAGGGAAAAAAAGAAGAAGAGGGAAUGGUUGGGAUAUGGAAAAAAGAGGAUGUCAUGGGGUAUGGGUAGAGGAAUGGGUGGGAGGUGGAAAUGGUAUGGGCAUAGGUACCCACAGUACUUGCUGUUGCACGUUGCCAAUUCAUCAAAAAUAAAUUUAAAUAAGAAUUUUUUGUAAAUUUAAAUACACAAAUAAGAGAAAAUUUUGGUUUAAAUAAAAAAAAUUUUCUAAAAUUUUUUUAAAAAUGAAGUAUAUUAAAUUUAAUUUAUUUAUCUAUAUGCACUUCAUGACACUAAAAAAAAAGGUGUUAGAGAAGGAAAAAAGAAAAAAAAAAGCAAA